CACGGGGGUCCCAAGCGUUGUCCGGUAUUAUUGGGCGUAAAGAGUUCUGUAGGCGGCAUUUCAAGUUACGGGUUAAAUCCUCCGGCUCAACCGGAGAACCGCUCGUAAUACUGUUGUGCUUGAGGUAGACAGGGGAAAGCGGAACGCAUGGUGUAGCGGUGGAAUGCGUUGAUAUCAUGCGGAACACCGAAGGCGAAGGCAGCUUUCUGGGUCUUACCUGACGCUGAGAGACGAAAGCGUGGGGAGCGAAACGG
rnacentral:misc_RNA from 1 species